rnacentral:rRNA from 1 species
UGGGGAAUAUUGCACAAUGGGCGCAAGCCUGAUGCAGCAACGCCGCGUGAACGAUGAAGGUCCUCGGAUCGUAAAGUUCUGUUGCAGGGGAAGAUAAUGACGGUACCCUGUGAGGAAGCCCCGGCUAACUACGUGCCAGCAGCCGCGGUAAUACGUAGGGGGCUAGCGUUAUCCGGUUUUACUGGGCGUAAAGGGUGCGUAGGUGGUCUUUCAAGUCGGUGGUUAAAGGCUACGGCUCAACCGUAGUUAGCCUCCGAAACUGGAAGACUUGAGUGCAGGGGAGGAAAGUGGAACUCCCAGUGUAGCGGUGAAGUGCGUAGAUAUUGGGAGGAACACCAGUGGCGAAGGCGGCUUUCUGGACUGCAACUGACACUGAGGCACGAAAGCGUGGGUAGCAAACAGG